UACGUAGGGGGCUAGCGUUGUUCGGAAUCACUGGGCGUAAAGCGCUCGUAGGCGGAUCUUUAAGUCAGGGGUGAAAUCCCGAGGCUCAACCUCGGAACUGCCUUUGAUACUGGGAAUCUCGAGUCCGGGAGAGGUGAGUGGAACUGCGAGUGUAGAGGUGAAAUUCGUAGAUAUUCGCAGGAACACCAGUGGCGAAGGCGGCUCACUGGCCCGGUACUGACGCUGAGGAGCGAAAGCGUGGGGAGCAAACAGG
rnacentral:rRNA from 1 species